rnacentral:hammerhead_ribozyme from 1 species
GUACCACUGAGGAGUCCCAAAAUAGGACGAAACAGCUGUCCAGUAC